AUUGCUUCACCGGUGAUGCUGCAGCACAUGCUGAGCCUGUGUCAUUAUCUACGAGCUGCCCUGAUUGCUAGGAAGAGAUACGGGGGUGAGAUACGGGGGUGAAUGAUCACCAGCUGGAGGAGGAAACUGCAGGCUGCAAGGUCAAAGCCAUCUUCACAACUGCCUGACACCUCCCUCAGCUGGUGGCAAGCUUGAGCAGGGUGGAGACAGCAGAGAAGGUGAGCAAGGAAAUCUCUCUUGCUCCCCCUGCCUUGAGAGUGGCAGUCACUGGCCAAGGCAGGAGGCACUGCAGGGCCCUCUACACGGAAAUGUAAAGGGAUUUGUUGGAUUUGUUUGCAGAAGUCAGUAAACCGUGGGCCAGUCUGUGAACCCUAGCCUCUAAAAAUGCUCUGCUAAACCUGAAACGCUGCGUUGUUCUAUCCCCAGGAUGAACAUCAACACUCAGUAAUAUUCUGUGCCAUCCCACAGCCUUGACAAAUAGUAGAAGGGAACUCAAAUUUGCAUAGAAGGAAAAAGUAUGGGGACACACAUCUGAGGAGCACAGCCAAGGACCCAUCUCCCCUGUGAAUUUCAGCCUGAGGAUUUCGGGGUACAAAUGAUGAAGAAACAGCCAGCCAGGCUGUGCAGGUCCCCAGCUGCUUGUAGGCACGUUCAGACACGGCAAGGGAGGCCUGAGAUGAACCUUUUUACCUGUUCAUGCUCUGAUGGGCCCGGCUGAUGCAAAUGCCAGUCAUCGUUAAUGCUGUGAAUCACUAAUUCAGCGCAUGAAUUGGAACGAGUUAGGUACAAUUAGGUGUUUGCACAGAUGGGGACAGACAUAUGAUGAUGUUGUCAUGUGUAAGCCCUGCCAAGCUGUGUGUGCCUCUCAGCUUUCUAUUAACACAACACCCAGCAGUUUCUCGGCAAGUCAAGCCACGCAUACAAAAAGCUUGUGAGCAGUACUAAAUAUAACAAAUCUGUUCUCCCCAGAGACUCUUAACAAGGGAUCCUAAGGGCCAGCAGUAUUCGUAUCAAUAUGAAGACAUCAUCUGUGAAUAACAUCAUACUUGGUGACAAGAACCAUGAGUGAACGCUAGAAUAAUGCACCACGCUACCAAUGAAAAUAGAAAAAUGCAUAUUGAUGUAAAAUGAAGAUGGAGCAAAAAUGAUGGUAGAGGACGUGAAAACAUCCUUCCUGUCCCAGUUCUGCCAGACUUUGUUUAUGGGACCCAAACUGGUGUUGCCAUUUCAACUGAACUGAACACAGUGAUCCAGGCUGUGUGGCAGGUCACAACAAAUCAACUUGAGCACAGCUGGAGGCAUUAUUUUUCCUUCAAGGAGAGAUGUUCAUCUCUGUUUUCUAGUUUGGCCACGAUUCUGGAGAGAAUGGAAAGAACUGAGCUGAAAAGAGCAACAGCACAAAAGCAAAGCCAUUACUCUUCUCUUGGCACUGUGCUGUUAUCGGGUGGCUGCAUCCAUAAAACCCUCACAGAAAGCUGGAGACUGUCACUGCAGAGUAGUCAGUCACUUUAACUUCUUCCUACACACAGCAAGACAAAAGCAGUGCAUGAUUAAUCACCACCAACAAUCUUAGUGGCUGGAUUCAAAGCAAAGGCUUUGGAGACAAAAUGUGGGGAUACCAUUGUCUGGUGGAGAGUGUGGCACAGAAGAAAGACAGCACCACCCCUGGCUGACGUUCUUCAGGCUCAAUCCUCGACCCUCUAGAUGUCUGUGAGCACGACUGCACACAAAUCUCACCAGAGCCAGGCCAUGAAAUGCCCACUUCAGCCCCAGGAUAUUACAGAAACACAGAAUGGUUGAGCUACCAACCUGAGGAAAACACUCCCAAUUGUUUUCAACUAGCUCCAAGCAGGAGGAGGAAGAUGAUAUAGGACAACCUCUGUCAGACAUGUCACUUCCCACCUCUGUGGGGUCCUUCCCCAGCACAGUGCCAUGGAGAAGGGCAUGGAGGCCUGCUGCUCCGUGAGGGGAGAGCAGGGGAGAGCUCAUCCUCAGGGAGCAGGGUACAGAGGGGUUAUGGUGCAGAGGCAGAGGAGAUGGUGCCCUGAAAGAGCUCUGGCACCAGAAAUGCUCUGAGGACAUUCAGAAGGAAGAGGGUUUCUGUCAGUGCUGCAAAGUGUUACCUCUCCCCUCCAAGGCUCGUGUGACCUGCACAGUGCCUGGAAGAUGCUUAUGGGCUUUCUGCUUCCUCAUUGUACCUCAGGCUAGGUUAAACUGAACUCGUUUUUAGGACCGCUGCUCUGUGGCUGUGACAAAAGCCAAGUGCCAGCCCCGGUGAGCACAAACGCACACAGGGAUCGGUCAACUAGGCCGGCUGCUGGCCUCUAUACAUCCCUAUGUAUAUAAACAGAGCCACAACAAACACACUGUCAGCACUCACAGCCAGCCCACUGACUCGCAGCAUCCAUGGCUUUGCCUCCUUGUCUUGGUUUGGCCACCUACUCCUUUUUGUACCAGAUCUACUUACACCUUUGUUUUGGCAAAACCAUCACUCUACCUACUGGAAUCACCUGCUUAAUGUCCAUAUAUUUAGCUCUUACACUAAAAUACCCUUCUAUCCGAACCGCUUUAUGAGUCAGGAAGUCAAUCUGAGCAGUUACUCAUGAAUGAGAUCAUGCAGUUAUGAUGGGUCCUGAAAACAUCAGUUUACACGAUAAGAAGCAGAUAAGAAAGCACAUCCAAUACUGGGCAGAGGUAGAGGAGAAACAAAUAACAGAGCAGAGAAUGUUAUUGUGGCACUGUUGAAACCUUUGAUUUGCUUGUGCCUUGAAUUACA